AUUAGAUACCCUAUUAUUUUUAUUGUAAAAUUUGAAACUUGAGUAUUAGUAGUUAAGGUCUUGAAACUUAAAGAAUUUGGCGGUAUUAUAGUCUAUUUAGAGGAAUCUGUUAUGUAAUCGAUAGUCCACGUUGAACCUUACUUAUAUUAUUUCUUGUAUACCGCUGUUUGAGAAUAUACUUUUAGGUUAUUUUCUUAAUAUAUUAUUAAUUAAAAUUUCAGGUCAAGGUGCAGUAAUAUAUAAGUUGAAUAAUGGAUUACAAUAAAUUUUAUUUAUAUGGAUUGUUAUUGAAAUAUAAUUUGAAGGUGGAUUUAAUUGUAAUUUUUUAAAGAUUAUUAAAAUGAUUAAUAGCUCUAUAAUAUGUACACAUCGCCCGUCGCUCUCGUUAUUAAGAUGAGAUAAGUCGUAACAUAGUA
rnacentral:rRNA from 1 species